rnacentral:rRNA from 1 species
ACGCGUUGAACCUUACCAGGUCUUGACAUCCCAUUGACCGCUAUGGAGACAUAGCUUUCCUUUCGGGGACAGUGGUGACAGGUGGUGCAUGGUUGUCGUCAGCUCGUGUCGUGAGAUGUUGGGUUAAGUCCCGCAACGAGCGCAACCCUUGUUCUUAGUUGCCAUCAUUUAGUUGGGCACUCUAAGGAGACUGCCGGUGACAAACCGGAGGAAGGUGGGGAUGACGUCAAAUCAUCAUGCCCCUUAUGACCUGGGCUACACACGUGCUACAAUGGACGGUACAAACGGUUGCCAACCCGCGAGGGGGAGCUAAUCCGAUAAAACCGUUCUCAGUUCGGAUUGUAGGCUGCAACUCGCCUACAUGAAGCCGGAAUCGCUAGUAAUCGCGGAUCAGCAUGCCGCGGUGAAUACGUUCCCGGGCCUUGCACUCACCGCCCGU